rnacentral:rRNA from 1 species
GACGAACGCUGGCGGCGUGCCUAAUACAUGCAAGUAGAACGCUGAAGGAGGAGCUUGCUCUUAUGGAUGAGUUGCGAACGGGUGAGUAACGCGUAGGUAACCUGCCUGGUAGCGGUGGAUAACUAUUGGAAACGAUAGCUAAUACCGCAUAAGAGUAGAUGUUGCAUGACAUUUGCUUAAAAGGUGCAAUUGCAUCACUACCAGAUGGACCUGCGUUGUAUUAGCUAGUUGGUGGGGUAACGGCUCACCAAGGCGACGAUACAUAGCCGACCUGAGAGGGGGAUAGGCGACACUGGAGCGGAGACACGGACAAGACUACUACGAGAGGCAGCAGUAGGGAAUAUUAGGCAAUGGACGGAAGUAUGACAGAGCAACGCCGAGUGAGUGAAGAAGGUGUUCGGAGCGUAAAGCUCUGUUGUAAGAGAUGAACGGGUGUGAGAGUGGAAAGUUCACACUGUGACGGUAUCUUACCAGAAAGGAACGGCUAACUACGUG